rnacentral:tRNA from 1 species
GAGGAUGUAGCGUAAUGGCAGCGCAACGCGGAUCCGGUAGGUGCAGGUUCGACUCCUGCCAUCCUCGCAA